rnacentral:rRNA from 1 species
CCUACGGAUGGCUGCAGUGGGGAAUAUUGGGCAAUGAGCGCAAGCCUGACCCAGCAACGCCGCGUGCAGGAAGAAGGCUUUCGGGUUGUAAACUUCUUUUAAGAGGGAAGAGCAGAUGACGGUACCUCUUGAAUAAGCCACGGCUAACUACGUGCCAGCAGCCUGGGUAAUACGUAGGUGGCAAGCGUUGUCCGGAUUUAGUGGGUGUAAAGGGCGUGUAGCCGGGCUGAUAAGUCAGAUGUGAAAUUCCGGGGCUCAACCCCGGACCUGCAUUUGAAACUGUUGGUCUUGAGUAUCGGAGAGGCAGGCGGAAUUCCAAGUGUAGCGGUGAAAUGCGUAGAUAUUAGGAGGAACACCAGAGGCGAAGGCAGCUUGCUGGA